rfam:Picea glauca, whole genome shotgun sequence.
ACAUGCCUACAACAUAGUGUUAACGCAUUGGAUCCCAUUAGAACUACAUAGUUAAGCGUGCUCAGGCUAGAGUAGCAUUGGGAUGGGUGACCGCCCAGGAAGUCCUGGUGUUUUGCAUGCC